rnacentral:rRNA from 1 species
GACGAACGCUGGCGGCGUGCCUAAUACAUGCAAGUCGAGCGGACAGAUGGGAGCUUGCUCCCUGAAGUCAGCGGCGGACGGGUGAGUAACACGUGGGCAACCUGCCUGUAAGACUGGGAUAACUUCGGGAAACCGGAGCUAAUACCGGAUACGUUCUUUUCUUGCAUGAGAGAAGAUGGAAAGAUGGUUUCGGCUAUCACUUACAGAUGGGCCCGCGGCGCAUUAGCUAGUUGGUGAGGUAAUGGCUCACCAAGGCGACGAUGCGUAGCCGACCUGAGGGGGUGAUCGGCCACACUGGGACGGGGACACGGCCCAGACUCCUACGGGAGGCAGCAGUAGGGAAUCUUCCGCAAUGGACGAAAGUCUGACGGAGCAACGCCGCGUGAACGAUGAAGGCCUUCGGGUCGUAAAGUCCUGUUGUUAGGGAAGAACAAGUACCAGAGUAACUGCUGGCACCUUGACGGUACCUAACCAGAAAGCCACGGCUAACUACGUGCCAGCCGCCGCAGUAAAAC